UCCGCUCACCGCUCCGCUUCCCGCAGAGGGGUCCCGGCCCGGAGCCGCUGCUCUGGAGAUCCCGGGGCAGCCCGGGGGCCGCCGUCGCCGCUCUUCUGCAGCUACUGCGGGAGGAGGAGAACGGUCCCCCGGCGCCCGCGCCUCCUCAGAAGCGAGACAUGCACGACUUCUUCGUGGGGCUCAUGG